CCCUGGUCCCUGAGAGUGUCCUGACUGGACCCUGGUCCCUGAGAGAGUAGCGUCCUGACUGGACCCUGGUCCCUGAGAGUGUCCUGACUGGACCCUGGUCCCUGAGAGAGCGUCCUGACUGGACCCUGGUCCCUGAGAGUGUCCUGACUGGACCCUGGGUCCUGUCAGCGUACGGCGGCGGCGGCGGCCAUGUGACCAGCCCACUCGGCUCACAGCUCACUUCCUGGUUCUGGUUCUGGAAGUGUAAAUGCAGCUUUCGCUCACACUGAUGGGCGGGGCCUGUCCGGUCACAUGACCGUCGACCGCCUCUCGUCCCAGACGUUCUAAGAUUCCAGUGUUCUGAUGGCGAGGCGGGUCAAAGGUCAGAGUGUGGCUGUAUAUUUAUUCUCGUGUUCCUGGUGUUGGUGACUUGACUUGUUUCUCUCGCCCUGCAUGGCUCCACCUCUUCUUCUUUGUGUAACCUGAGCUGCACUCAGCAUUAAAGUGUUUCCCUCCGG